GAGGAAGGUGGGGAUGACGUCAAGUCAUCAUGGCCCUUAUGGGUAGGGCUACACACGUCAUACAAUGGACGGUACAGAGGGCUGCCAACCCGCGAGGGGGAGCCAAUCCCAGAAAACCGUUCGUAGUCCGGAUUGCAGUCUGCAACUCGACUGCAUGAAGUCGGAAUCGCUAGUAAUCGCGGAUCAGCUUGCCGCGGUGAAUACGUUCCCGGGUCUUGUACACACCGCCCGUCACACCAUGGGAGUGGGGUUUACCAGAAGUCGUUAGCCUAACCGCAAGGAGGGCGAUGACCACGGUAGGCUUCAUGACUGGGGUGAAGUCGUAACAAGGUAGCCGUAA
rnacentral:rRNA from 1 species